rnacentral:rRNA from 1 species
GACGAACGCUGGCGGCGUGCUUAACACAUGCAAGUCGAACGGUGAACCUCUUCGGAGGGGAUCAGUGGCGAACGGGUGAGUAACACGUGGGCAACCUGCCCCCGGCUCUGGGAUAACUCCAAGAAAUUGGGGCUAAUACCGGAUGUUCACCGCUUCCCGCAUGGGUGGUGGUGGAAAGGGUUUCCGGCUGGGGAUGGGCCCGCGGCCUAUCAGCUUGUUGGUGGGGUAGUGGCCUACCAAGGCGACGACGGGUAGCCGGCCUGAGAGGGUGACCGGCCACACUGGGACUGAGACACGGCCCAGACUCCUACGGGAGGCAGCAGUGGGGAAUAUUGCGCAAUGGGCGGAAGCCUGACGCAGCGACGCCGCGUGGGGGAUGACGGCCUUCAGGUUGUAAACCUCUUUCAGCAGGGACGAAGCGCAAGUGACGGUACCUGCAGAAGAAGCACCGGCCAACUACGUG